GCACGGGGCGCCCUCCGGGCUGCAGGCUGCUGCCCGCAAGCCUUGCGAGCCCGCGGGAACUCCCUCCGGGCUUGCAAGGCUUGCGGAUAGCUUCCUGAAGCCUGGAGAGCGAGAGGGAUCGGUGC